UACGGAGGAUGCAAGCGUUAUCCGGAAUGAUUGGGCGUAAAGCGUCCGCAGGUGGCUGUGUAAGUCUGCUGUCAAAGAGCAAAGCUCAACUUUGUAAAGGCAGUGGAAACUACACGGCUAGAGUGCGUUCGGGGCAGAGGGAAUUCCUGGUGUAGCGGUGAAAUGCGUAGAGAUCAGGAAGAACACCGGUGGCGAAGGCGCUCUGCUAGGCCGUAACUGACACUGAGGGACGAAAGCCAGGGGAGCAAACGGG
rnacentral:rRNA from 1 species